CCCUUCGGGGACAUUGGUGACAGGUGGUGCAUGGUUGUCGUCAGCUCGUGUCGUGAGAUGUUGGGUUAAGUCCCGCAACGAGCGCAACCCUUGUCUUUAGUUGCCAUCAUUAAGUUGGGCACUCUAGAGAGACUGCCAGGGAUAACCUGGAGGAAGGUGGGGAUGACGUCAAAUCAUCAUGCCCCUUAUGCUUAGGGCUACACACGUGCUACAAUGGGUAGUACAGAGGGUUGCCAAGCCGUAAGGUGGAGCUAAUCCCUUAAAGCUACUCUCAGUUCGGAUUGUAGGCUGAAACUCGCCUACAUGAAGCUGG
rnacentral:rRNA from 1 species